GACGAACGCUGGCGGCGUGCUUAACACAUGCAAGUCGAACGGAAAGGCCCUGCUUUUGUGGGGUGCUCGAGUGGCGAACGGGUGAGUAACACGUGAGUAACCUUCCCUUGACUUUGGGAUAACUUCAGGAAACUGGGGCUAAUACCGGAUAGGAGCUCCUGCUGCAUGGUGGGGGUUGGAAAGUUUCGGCGGUUGGGGAUGGACUCGCGGCUUAUCAGCUUGUUGGUGGGGUAGUGGCUUACCAAGGCUUUGACGGGUAGCCGGCCUGAGAGGGUGACCGGCCACAUUGGGACUGAGAUACGGCCCAGACUCCUACGGGAGGCAGCAGUGGGGAAUAUUGCACAAUGGGCGGAAGCCUGAUGCAGCAACGCCGCGUGCGGGAGGACGGCCUUCGGGUUGUAAACCGCUUUCGCCUGUGACGAAGCGUGAGUGACGGUAAUGGGUAAAGAAGCACCGGCUAACUACGU
rnacentral:rRNA from 1 species